UCUUUCAUUUUGCAUGGGAAUUUAAUGAAGUAUAAAUACUGAGGGUGGAUUCAUACCUACUUCAUUUGGUCCUUUUAACAUGGACCAGAGUUCGCUUCUCUGGAAAGUCUGGACUUUUUUUUAGGUGU